rnacentral:rRNA from 1 species
UACGUAGGGAGCAAGCGUUGUCCGGAUUUACUGGGUGUAAAGGGUGCGUAGGCGGGCUGGCAAGUCAGGCGUGAAAUACCGGGGCUCAACCCCGGGGCUGCGUUUGAAACUGCUGGUCUUGAGUGAGGUAGAGGCAGGCGGAAUUCCUAGUGUAGCGGUGAAAUGCGUAGAUAUUAGGAGGAACACCAGUGGCGAAGGCGGCCUGCUGGGCCUUAACUGACGCUGAUGCACGAAAGCGUGGGGAGCAAACAGG